UUGAGCCUACGGGAGGCAGCAGUGGGGAAUAUUGGGCAAUGGGCGCAAGCCUGACCCAGCAACGCCGCGUGAAGGAAGAAGGGUGGCGGGUUGUAAACUUCCUUUCUCGGGGACGAAGGAAGUGACGGUACCUGAGGAAUAAGCCACGGCUAACUACGUGCCGGCAGCCGCGGUAAUACGUAGGUGGCAAGCGUUAUCCGGAUUUAUUGGGUGUAAAGGGCGUGUAGGCGGGAGCGCAAGUCAGAUGUGAA
rnacentral:rRNA from 1 species